GCCCGAUUAGUUCAGCUGGAUAGAAAGUCUGCCUAGCAGAUGGUCAGCAGAUGGUCGUGGGUUCGAAUCCUGCAUCGGGUA
rnacentral:tRNA from 1 species